UGCAGGGCUGGAGUUCCACCGUAUUACUCAGCCCCGAGAAAUCGUAACAGGACUGGAAUCCCCCAUACGAGUCAACCUCCGGUAGUAUUUUGCCCGACUUUCCCAACAAUUCUCUUCUGCACCUGAGCCCUACUUGAUAUUUCAGUACUGUCAUGCCCUUGUGCAAAAUAUCAAACAAGAUUACCAGAGAUUAGUAAAUGAAAUGAGCAGAAUUUUAAUAGGAAAAAGAUCGAAAGAUGGAAGUCUUCCCAUCAAACUAGGUUGCAUCAUGGUUGCAUCUCCUAAUUGAAAUACAAUCCAAAAGUUCCAACUUAGAGCAAAAACAACAAACACCGCACAAUUUGAAGCCUAAACCAAUGGGCAUAAUACUAUCAUGCUUUUUUGCUGCCUACGAAAAUUAUAACUUAAUCAAAACUAUGUGACUACUCAGUGAGGCUCAAAUGCCAUAGUUCCACGACAACUUCAAAAAUUCCAAACAAGUUUAGUACUGUCAUGUCAUGUUUAUGGUUUGAAACUCUCUCGUUGUCUUUCAUGCAAACUAACUUGAAUGAUAGCAGUAAAGUUAUUAAAAUGAACUAUGCAAGAUCCACAGCCAGCUGUGAUUAUAUCCCAUACAAACUGCAAUCAGACUACUCUACAUGGCAGAUAUGAUACCUGCAAAUACAUCCCAGUCUUGAGUUUGAUGUGAAUUCGGUUGUCGUUAUUUCUUUCCAAGUAAAAAGCACUCUGCAUAUAACUGAACUACCCUCAACUUGGCAGGUGAUCACCUACAUUUCAAUCCAGCCAUAAUAAGAUGAAAUAGGUGUUGUAGCUUCUUCAGUUCUAUUGACAUUACAGUUAAGGCAGUUCUAAUGAUUUUGCAGAGGAGAAACAUGUCAGCAUUUGAAUACUUCUUCAAUUUAACACAUUCACAAAUGAGAAAUACACUCUUUCAUGCUCAAAUAAAGGCGGACAAGUUUUGGAUGUAUAGAACAGUUUUACUUUGUCAACCGCAACGGCCCCUCUCCCACCAUUGUCAGCGGAAACGUAUUUGUUUCCACUCACUGAUUUCAGUUGGACCUCUGUUCCAUCCUACAAUGCAACAACCAAAAACCUUUAACAGGUAUGCACACUCAACACACGCGCACAGAAGAAACCUGAAACCCCAUUUGCAGAGAGCUAUCUCCAUCAACAAGAUAAACCCCAAUUCUUUCAAUUCUUGAAUAAUGCACAAGCCAUGUUCUACAAUUAAAGUGUUGGGACAUAACUGCUCACCCAAAAAUCAUCAUAAAGUUGCUGACUAUCAAAUGCUCUUCCUGGCAGCAACUGCUCGCAUCCAAAACUACGAGCAAAACGUCAUUUAAAAACACAAUAAUAGACGAACAAAUUAAAUCAUGGAGUAAUUUGAAACUCGAUAUUGACGAGUUUGUAAGCUUGGACCAUUAUAUUACACCAUGAGUAAGGAGAAGAUUCAUUUAUUGUUCUGCCAAAACUCUGAGGUCUUGAAUAUAUCAGAUUUUCCCAGUUCAUUUAAAACCACUACAGCAGCCUACCAACAAAUUUUCAAGGUAUUUACUGAGCUCAAUAUGCUAUAUCUCAUAAUGCAUAUUCUCCAUCUAAGCAUGAUAGACAAACAUUACCAUUGCAUAAUCAAUUUAUUUCCAUCAAAACCAACAACAACCUAUGACUUUCACACGAGCUAAAUGCAGUGAGGAAUUCCUUGAUACAGUAGCAAGAGUUUAGUGCUUAGUGCUAUUUAUUGCAUAACAAUUAUAGAAAAAUGGAAACUGCACAAUAGAGCUAUAGAUUAAC
rnacentral:lncRNA from 1 species